CUCGGUGACAGCAGAUGGGAACUGUGUUCAAGGAAACCAAGGAUGGCAGGGUGGCAUUUUCCUUCUACUUGUGAGGAAGGUGGUUGGUUUGGGAGGGUGCUGGAUUUGCCUCAGUCUGCUUUGGGUCUUCUUCAUAAAAACCACUUAAAUGUGGAAAAUUCUGCGUGCGAGAGUGUGUGUCAGAGAGGAUAUUCUAGCCACACAUCAGCCCAGGUGUGUGUGCCUUGCAUUCAGUAUGUCACCUGGAGCUCACCGCAGCCUUAUAGAGCUGCCCAGUCUGGUUCAAAGGCCACCAGCCACGUGUGACUACUAAACACUUGAAAUGUAGGUAGUCUAAAUUGAGAUGUGCUUUAAGUGUAAGUAUUCACUGGAUUUCGUGGACUGGGCACGUUAAAAGGCUGUAAAAUAUUCCAUUACUACUUUUGUAUAUUGAUUACAUAUCAAAAUAAUAUUGUGGAUCUAUUUUUAAAAUUAAUUUCACUCCUUUUUCUUUACCUUUUUAAAUGGCUGCUGCACUAGUAGUGACUACUGGAAAAAUUUGUUACCUUUGUGACUCAUGUGGUAUUUCUAUUGAACAGCCCUGUUCUAGAGUAAAUGUAAUGACUCUCCCAAUUUCGCAGCUCGGAAAAGGAGGCUCAAAGAGCUGACUAGCUACAAAGCUAGUAAGUGAGGACAUCUAGAUUCCUUCUACAAAGACAAAGCCCAGGACAUCGUGGACUCUUCAUGACCAGCCAAGCUUGGUCCCCUCCAGAGAAUGGCCCUGCCCCAGGUAACUUCACCAAUAGCACAGUGCCACAAAGAUUUUCUGGAGAUAAUUGCCUCUGGCCUUGUUGUUGCCUUCAAGAUGGGGACUUGGGGCCAAAUAGCAGAAGAUGUGACCUGAUAGGGACCUUACUGGGAACAUGGGACCCUGACAGGGGUGCUUUUCCCUAUCUGUGGAGGGCUAGAUCACCCUCACGGAUGGUGCCCCCUCUGCUUUGUUUUGGUUGGGUCCUUAAGCACAUCACCUACCUUCUCUGAACCUCUGUUACCAUAUCCGAAACAUGGAAAUCUGUUUUUGUUAUGUCGUGUAUGUGAGACACAAUGUGAGCUGGACGUUUAGUGAACAUGCAGUCAAUAAAUAAAUGACAACAUUGAUUACAGCAGGCCCAGGCACAUGAGGACUGCCCGUGGAUUACUGGCAACAAAUGUCCUUGGCUGAGGCUCCCUCCUCCCGCCACCCAGUCUGCACCCAGCCUGCUUUCUCCUCUGCUCACUCCUCCCCCAGUCCCCGCCCCUGUUGUCUGUUGGAAUAUAAUCAAAGAAGCACACAGGCAGAUUUUUAAAUAAUGCCUGCCCAGCCUCAGGUGACUCAUCUGAUGGCUGUGAGCUCCAACUCUCCUCCAUGUGGGCGUCGCCAGCACCACCACAUUGUCACACAGCAAAGCUAUGCUGCACAGCACCCAUGCAGAUGAUAACAGGGGGAAACGAGGCCCACUGAUCCUCCCCUUCCCUGGAAUAGGCUUUUGGCAAGCUUUGGGGAAAGGUGGUUUUCUCCCCUACGCUCCUGUAUAAAAAGGAACAGAUCUUCUGGCUGUUGGGCAGGGUGGUGGGGGAGGAGAGCCAACAUCCUCCUGCCACCUGUCAUUUCCUGCUUUGGACUUGAUGUCACAGUCGAGUGUUUGAGCCAUCCCUGCCCUGAAGGCACUUUGGGGUGAUGAUGACAAAAUUCAGACUGGAAAGGAAAGGAGUGAAUUCCCAGUAGAAGGCUGGGCCGGGCCUGCAUUUUACAGAGGGACUCAGGAUCUCACGUUUCGCUCUGCUGGGCUGUUCUUAUUUCCUGCCUUCCAUGAGAGGAGUCUUGUGAAAGCACCCUGGAGAUGUGGGAUGAUGAUGAACAUUGCUCUCAGUGGAUGCCAUCUCUAACGCGACACAUGUGAUCUGGUUGAGAGAGAUUUAAUUGGGAUUCUGAAAUUUUGAGCAUCAGUAGAAUAAUGAAAACCCAAGAGCCAUUCCAGCAGUAAAGUUGUAUGAAUUAUUCGG